AACUUCAUUUUGAGGUAAACCAUAUAGAGGGAAGAUGAUUUUCCAUUCAUGAUGGAUGAUUUUCCAUCUAUGAUGGUUGAUGUAAAGGUUACAAAGUAUUGUGUGCAUCUUUUGAUUAGAUGAGUUCUCAAAUGAAUUUGAUGAAGACAUUUAUUGAGCCUCCAUUCAUAGAGUGAUGGAGGAAUAUUUGAUGGCAGGCACAAUUCUGCCUAGUUCUCCACACUACUACUUUUCUGCUGUUGAAGACUAUAUGACGAUAUUUAAUGUAAAACUGGCCGGCUCUGGCUACCUUGCUGAGCAAACAAAAUCUCCCCCAAUCACACUAUGAACAAACAAAUAAACUUUGUACAACCAUAGGAGAUCUGGACUUCAAUUGUAUAUUUUCUUGUAUAUUUUCUGCCAACAACUUAUCAAUCAU
rnacentral:lncRNA from 1 species